rnacentral:rRNA from 1 species
AUGAGAAGGAGGGAGGUAUUGCAAGAUCGCAGCGAUGCUCUAAGCGACUGUGCAUUGGACGAUUUGGGUUACACAGGAGAUAAAUUUUCUUGGCGCCGAGGACAUAUUCGGGAACGCUUAGAUCGAGCUGUUGGUAACAUGCAGUGGGCUGAUUUGUUCCCUAGUUUUGGAGUAUCCAAUGAAGAGUUUAACAAAUCAGACCAUAGGCCGGUCCUGAUCAAUACCAAUUUUCAGAUCGGCAUGCUG